ACAGCAGUAGCCGCGGUAAUACGGAGGGUGCAAGCGUUAAUCGGAAUUACUGGGCGUAAAGCGCACGCAGGCGGUUUGUUAAGUCAGAUGUGAAAUCCCCGAGCUUAACUUGGGAACUGCAUUUGAAACUGGCAAGCUAGAGUCUUGUAGAGGGGGGUAGAAUUCCAGGUGUAGCGGUGAAAUGCGUAGAGAUCUGGAGGAAUACCGGUGGCGAAGGCGGCCCCCUGGACAAAGACUGACGCUCAGGUGCGAAAGCGUGGGGAGCAAACAGGAUUAGAGACCCCUGUAGUCCCUGUCUCUUAUAC
rnacentral:rRNA from 1 species